AAGACAUCAUUAAAGAGCUCCUCCAGAGAGAUCCUGCCAAGCGCUUAGGAGUCCAUGGUAACAUCAGAGGCCAUCAUUUCUUCCAGCAUAUUGACUGGGUCUCUGUGGAAGCCCUUGAGAUGCCACCACCACACAUCCCUGUACCAUCUAUACCUCAACGCUGUCCCAAACCAUUCAACCUGGGCAAAAU